rnacentral:rRNA from 1 species
GAAGAGAGAGUUCAAGAGUGCGUGAAACCGUUCGGAGGGUAAAACGGGUGGGCGCUCGAAGGUCGAACGAUCCCUACUCCCGCCAUCUGCACGCCAGUCCACCGCGAACGUCACGUGUGUGCCUCCGCCUUCACGGGUGCGAGAGCCGCCGGUUCUGUGGUGGUUCACUGGCGGCCGUGCAGGGGCCGCAAGUUUGGGAUCUAGUAGGACUCCGCAACCGUCUGGGUAGACGUCAAAAGGAACCCCCUUGAUUUUUCCUCGGCUCGUUGGUGUCGCUCGGUCUCGGCCGUUGCGCGCCUUCAAGCGGGGGGGAUUCCCGACGUUCUCGCCCGGCCGUUUACACCUGUUUGGAGGCGUCGUAGCCCCUYUGGGGUUGCGUUGCGUCCCGGCAGCGGAGAGUAGAAUAGUCGGUUCCCACCCGACCCGUCUUGAAACACGGACCAAGGAGUCUAACAUGUGCGCGAGUCUUCGGGUUAAAUUAAACCUUGCAAAGGCGAAAUGAAAGUGAACGAUUGGCCGGGGUAGAUGAAAUGCUCCUCGUGCCGAGGGAGGAUCCCGUCCUCCUCGUGGGG